GAUGAAGAACGUAGCGAAAUGCGAUACGUAAUGUGAAUUGCAGAAUUCAGUGAAUCAUCGAAUCUUUGAACGCAUAUUGCGCUCUCUGGUAUUCCGGAGAGCAUGCUUGUUUGAGUAUCAGUAAACACCUCAACUUCCAUAUCUUUUUUGAAAUGGGAGUUGGACUUGAGUGAUCCCAACGCUUUUCCUCACCGAAAAGUGGCGGGUUACUUGAAAUGCAGGUGCAGCUGGACUUUUCUCUGAGCUAUAAGCAUAUCUAUUUAGUCUGCCUAAAAAACAGAUUAUUACCUUUGCUGCAGCUAACAUAAAGGAGAUUAGUUCUUGUGCUGACUGAUGCAGGAUUCACAAAGACGGCUUCGGCCGACUUUGUAAACUCGAUCUCAAAUCAAGUAAGACUACCCGCUGAACUUAAGCAUAUCAAUGCGGAGGA
rnacentral:misc_RNA from 1 species